UUUCGAAUCAUUCACAAUGGGCGAAAGCCUGAUGGUGCGACGCCGCGUGGGGGACGAAGGUCUUCGGAUUGUAAACCCCUGUCACCGGGGACAAAACGUCGUCUGUUAAUAGCAGGCGGCCUGAUUUAACCCGGAGAGGAAGCAGUGGCUAACUCUGUGCCAGCAGCCGCGGUAAUACAGAGACUGCAAGCGUUGUUCGGAUUCACUGGGCGUAAAGGGUGCGCAGGCGGCCGGGUGUGUCGGGUGUGAAAGCUCGAGGCUUAACCUCGAAACUGCGCCCGAAACUAUCCGGCUAGAGUACUGGAGAGGGAGGCGGAAUUCACGGUGUAGCAGUGAAAUGCGUAGAUAUCGUGAGGAACACCAAUGGCGAAGGCAGCCUCCUGGACAGUUACUGACGCUCAGGCACGAAAGCGUGGGAGCAAAAGGGAUUAGAUACCCCUGUAGUCCACGCCCUAAAACGGUGACAUACUAGCUGUUGGCGGAAUCGA
rnacentral:rRNA from 1 species